GACGAACGCUGGCGGCGUGCUUAACACAUGCAAGUCGAACGGAAAGGCCUGCUUUCCCUUGUGGAUUGCGGGUACUCGAGUGGCGAACGGCUGAGUAACUCGUUAGUGAUCUGCCCCCAACUUGGGUAUAAGCCUGGGAAACUGGGUCUAAUUUCCGAUAGGACUGCAGGGUGGUGCCUGUCGUGGGAAACGAUUUGCUACUGGUUGGGGAUGAGCUCGCGGCCUAUUAGCUUGUUGGUGGGGUAAUGGCCUACCAAGGCGGCGACGGGUAGCCGGCCUGAGAGGGUGGACGGCCACAUUGGGACUGAGAUACGGCCCAGACUCCUACGGGAGGCAGCAGUGGGGAAUAUUGCACAAUGGGCGGAAGCCUGAUGCAGCGACGCCGCGUGGGGGAUGACGGCCUUCGGGUUGUAAACUCCUUUCGACCGCGAGGAAGCCACCUGGUUGGAAGGGUGGUGACGGUAGUGGUAGAAGAAGCACCGGCUAACUACGUG
rnacentral:rRNA from 1 species